CCGAAGAUCAGCAUAAGACAGCAUUUCAGACCCACCACGGCCACUUUGAGUUCCGAGUCAUGGCAUUUGGCCUUACCGGUGCACCUGCUACAUUUCAAGGAGCAAUGAAUAAGACCUUAGCGCCACUUCUUCGGAAAUGUGUCUUGGUCUUUUUCGACGACAUUUUGGUUUAUAGCCCGACAUGGGACACUCACUUGCAACACAUUGAGCUCGUCUUGCAGCUGCUUUCGACAGAUUCUUGGCAAGUCAAACUGUCCAAAUGCUCCUUCGCCAAGCAGGAAAUUGUUUAUCUGGGCCACAUUAUUAGCCAGGCAGGAGUGCCCACUGAUCCUUCCAAGGUGUCUGCUGUCUUAUCUUGGCCAGUGCCUCAGACUUGCAAAGAACUCCGGGGAUUCUUGGGUCUUGCUGGGUACUACCGCAAGUUUGUUAAAAAUUUCGGUAUUAUCGCUAAACCGCUCACCUCCCUGCUGAAGAAAGACUCAAUGUUUGUAUGGACUACUUUACAUGACACAGCAUUCCAAACCCUGAAGCACUCCCUAGCGUCUGCUCCCGUAUUGGCCUUGCCCAAUUUUCAGAAACCUUUUUCUAUUGAGACUGAUGCAUCAAGCAAAGGUAUAGGGGCUGUUCUCCAACAGGAAGGUCACCCUUUGGCAUAUGUCAGCAAGGCACUGGGACCUAAAAACUUAGGUCUUUCUACUUAUGAAAAAGAGUAUUUGGCUAUUCUGCUCGCAGUUACCCACUGGAGGUCGUAUUUGCAGCAUGCAGAAUUUCUCAUUCUGACCGAUCAUCGCAGCUUGUCACACCUGUCUGACCAAAGGCUGCAUACUCCAUGGCAGCAAAAGGUUUUUACCAAGCUCUUGGGUUUACAUUAUAAGAUUAUCUAAAAAAAAGGUGUGGACAACACGGCAGCAGACGCCUUAUCUCGGCGCCCCCAUGAGGCUGCCUCCUUGUUUGCUGUCUCCAUGGCUUCCCCAGCAUGGAUACAGGAGAUUAUCGAUGGUUAUGAGUCUGACCCUGAGGCGCUUAAACUUGUCACUGCUUUGUCUAUCUCUGAGUGUCCUCCUUAUACCUUACAAGACGGAGUCAUUCGAUACAAGAACCGUGUCUGGUUAGGUGCCAACAGUGCUAUGCAGUCCAAAGUCAUGUCAGCACUGCACUCCAGUGCCUUGGGCGGUCACUCAGGGUUCCCUGUUACUUACAGUCGGAUCAAGCAGUUGUUCUACUGGCCCCGUAUGAAAAGUGCCAUCAAGGAGUUUGUCGCUGCAUGUGGGGUGUGCCACCAAGCCAAACCAGACCGGGCCCGGUAUCCUGGUCUUCUCCAACCCUUGCCAGUACCAACCCAAGCAUGGCAAGCAAUAUCUCUUGAUUUCAUCGAAGGCUUACCACCAAGUGGCGGCUACAACAGUAUCUUGGUCGUGGUGGAUCGCUUCUCCAAAUACGGUCACUUUAUUGCCUUGCGCCACCCUUUCACUGCUCUCAAGAUUGCUCAGGUUUUUAUGGCUGAAAUCUAUCGUCUCCACGGCAUGCCCCAAUCUAUUGUGUCUGAUCGUGACCGUAUUUUUACAAGUACCUUAUGGAGGGAGCUGUUCAGAUUGUCCGGGACUCAGCUUCUCAUGAGCUCUUCCUACCACCCCCAGACAGACGGCCAAACAGAACGCGUCAAUCAGUGUUUGGAGACAUUCUUACGCAGUUUUGUGCAGGCCUGUCCCUCUAAGUGGUCACUAUGGCUGUCCGUGGCAGAGUACUGGUACAACUGUUGUUUCCAUUCUUCCCUGGGCCAUUCACCAUUCGAAGUGCUCUAUGGAAGAUCCCCUCGUCAUUUUGGCCUUUCAGUUGAUGACUCAGUUUCCCAUGUGGACUUAGCAUCCUGGUUGGGUCAAAGGGACCUCAUGGUCCGGUCGGUUCAUCAUCACUUGUUGCGCGCUCAGCAGCGCAUGAAACAUUUCGCAGACAAGCGUCGUUCUGAACGCGUGUUCAAUGUCGGGGAUAUGGUAUAUCUGAAGCUCCAGCCCUAUGUGCAAACUUCGGUGGCCCCUCGUGCCAGUCACAAACUUGCCUACAAAUAUUUCGGGCCCUUUGAGAUUUUACAGAAGGUUGGUGCUGUGGCUUAUAAGCUGAAAUUACCAGAGUCUGCUUCCAUCCACCCGGUGUUUCACGUCUCCCAGUUAAAGCCAUCAGUUCAUCCAUCGUGCUCUGUCAGUUCUGCUCUUCCAGCUGUGGCAUCUGCCGUCAGUUACCCAGAGCAAAUUCUGCAACGCCGUACUAUCUCACGUGGAGGCCAUCAGGUUGCUCAGGUCUUGGUACGCUGGUCCGGUUGCGACGCCACUCUGGAUUCAUGGGAAGAUGAACAAGCUCUGCAAGGCCGUUUCCCAGCUGCCACCGCUUGGGGACAAGCGGCUCUUCAACAGGAGGGGAUUAUCAGCAUACCAAAGGGGUUACCAGGGAACUCUGAUGAAAGUGAGCUGCAGGAGGAGCAAACCAAGGUGUCGGGCCGCCGUGUCCGUAGGCCCAAUUCCCUUUUUUCAUUGGACAAGUGGUCCAUGUAAGCCCAUGUGGGCAGUAGCAGUAGAUAAGGAGAGAGAGUGGAGAAAACUGAGUAUCAAACAUUUACAGAGAACAAUACUACCUCUGCUCCUUCCUCCGUAAUUCUGUCUUCCUCUUCCUUCUGCUCGUAGACAGUAGAGUAGUUAUAACAGAUGCGCUCGGCUGUCUCGCGCGCGCGUGGGCUACAUAAUCUUCCUCUCCACCUCUGUCUCUCCCGCCCAGCUUUCGAACGUGACACUCGUCGGCUCCGGCUCUUGGUUGGAACAUCAAGAGCGCUUGUUCGAACCCAUCUGCUCCCGUUUUGCUUGGCUUAGUGGUCUAACUGCAUCCAUCUAUAUGCCCAUCUAUAGUGUUCCGCCGAUUAACAGCUUCACUGAUCAUGGUUUUUUUUUUACUGAAUGAACAUGUAUCAUAUCAUAUCCUCUUUCUUUGAAACCUGUCUCGGGCCGGAUUUCUGAACCUGACAUCGUUUUCCACUUGAUUGUGCGGUUUUGCGCGGCAGCAGAGGCGACGCCCAAGUCAGUGCUGAGGCUGAUGGGGACGAAACGAAAGGGCUUGUUGCCUUCUUGGCGAGGCAGGCUGCGGCUGGCGAACGGGUGCCUGCCGUUCGUCUGCCGUGGCUACAGAGCCCGGCGGCGGCGGCGGCGGCGCGGCGCACAUGGCCUUUGGCAUUUUUCAGUAUUUUCCCCUGCUAUACUAGGGAGACCAAGCCAGUGCGGUGAUGCUGUGUUCCGCGCAAGGAGGACAGAGGGGAGGCUGGUCAGUUUCGUGGCGAGCGCUGGGUUGCCGACCCUGACUCCCCACCUCGGUCUCGGUGCACAGCACAAGACGCCCGCGAGAAGAGCAUCUUGGCAUGCGCGCAUGGCGUGGUCUCGUACAUCUGUUUGUUUGUGUGUUGCCUGUGCCUGCAUGGGCUCCUGGUACUGCAGCCAGAUCUAGCACGUGCGAGCAGUUGGACGUUUGGAUUUACUGUAUGGGUGAACCAGCAAUGGGGGCAAUGGCGAGUGGCGACGGGGUACCAACCGGGAGCAGAGAUCCAUGUCCGCUCGCUUGGUUGCGUCGGGACCAAUCCACCACCAAGGCCAAGCCAAUAGCCAAGCAGCGGGGGGACCGACCGUGCUGUCGAUGGCGGAUUGCAUGCACGGAAUGCAGAGAUGCCUACGGGCACGGCUCUUGUGGUGCGGUGGUGUGUGGAGCUUGACAGCUUGUGGCUUGCUAUCUCUGUGCCUAGCCUAGCUAGCAGUAGCAGGCGCGCGAGUGCCAAAACUGACGGCAGCAGGUAGCUAGUAGGUUGGUCGGCUAGGGCCAUCGAGGUGCGUCGCCAUCCGACGCAGGCAGGACCAGGACCACCGAUGAUGGACUGGAAUGAUGAUCCGAGUGGAAAUACCGGUAAGUAGGACCGUGAAGAAAGGUAGCGACAGUGUCAGUGGGAUACCCGUGAUCAUUCCGAUGUUUUGAAACGAACUGCAGCUCCGAGUGUUCAUGAUUGAACGAACAUAUACUUAGUAAUACCACAAGCUCAUCGGGAUGAAACAGAGGCGUCGGAGUUCUUUACUAGUCCGUCUCUUAGAUCGACCACAGCAGAGCAGAGCAUAUACAGUUUUGCAUAUGACGCAUCGUCGCAAUUGGUUAUUGGUAGGUAGUAGGGCAUCUUCACUAGCUAACAGAAGGAGGAGGGUGAAAGGAGAGCGCUUUGGCGUCCGGCGGGGCACACAAAAAAAAAAACCGCGAGCAGGGAGGGAGCGGUUAAAAUGCGUGCAAAAAGGGAGGAGACGCCGCGAGCGGCAGACAGACAGGCAGAGGCAGGCAGGCAAGGCCAAGAGCCCAAGACGGUCGGGGCGGAGCGCGAGAGGCAGGCGACGCGAGGAGAGGAGGCGGUGCUGUGGUGGCCUCACCUGCCCUGCCAUGAUUAUAAAAAAUAACGGAGCGCGACGCGGGUAGAAACCGGAAGGCCCGCCGCUGCCCGCCCCUUCUUCCUUCCCGUCCCACACACGCCGCCGCCGCCGCCGCCGCCGCUCGCUUCCUCCACCCCCCGGUCCGCGCGGCGCGGGCUGCCUGCGCGACCAGGGAGGCAGGGCACGCGGCAACCACGUGGGGAGGCGACGACACCACACCACCCUAUGCUCUCUGUCCUCGCCCGCAGGGUAAGAUUGCAGCAGCAGUGAAUUUGGGAGCUUGAAGCGUUCAUCCGAGACAUGGAAAAAGUGAUCUGCCGGGCAUAUCUCCUUCAAUGCAAGCGAUUCUUUUCGAAAGAAACUCUUGAUUGGUGUGUCUUAGCCCGUGGGAACACCCAUCUCUCCUCUCUGGUGAACUACACAUAGUGGUUAUAUGCUCCUCUAUGCUCCACAACAAGCAGGCUGAUGCGAUAUUUUCCUGAAGUUAUUAUAUUCCAGUCUAUGCCAGACAUCUACAUCACAUCAACUUCUGAAAAGUUUCUUUUCAGGUAGAUGAUGCUCAUAUAAGGGGGGGUUAAUAUAUUUGCCAUCUUCAGCCUACAUCUGUUGCUGCCCUAAUUAGUUGAUUUGUCUUCUGUGUACUAUCUGAGGCAAGAUAUUGAUCAGCUAGAACUUGGCAAACCCUUGCCUUUCGUGUCUGUUCAUAUUUCUCGUGGCUUGG